rnacentral:rRNA from 1 species
UUUAAUGAGAGUUUGAUCCUGGCUCAGGACGAACGCUGGCGGCGUGCCUAAUACAUGCAAGUAGAACGCUGAGGAUUGGUGCUUGCACUAAUCCAAAGAGUUGCGAACGGGUGAGUAACGCGUAGGUAACCUACCUCAUAGCGGGGGAUAACUAUUGGAAACGAUAGCUAAUACCGCAUGAUACUAGAGUACACAUGUACUUAAGUUAAAAGGAGCAAUUGCUUCACUAUGAGAUGGACCUGCGUUGUAUUAGCUAGUUGGUGAGGUAACGGCUCACCAAGGCGACGAUACAUAGCCGACCUGAGAGGGUGAUCGGCCACACUGG